UACCAUACUUAUCCUAGACUGGCUCUUCC
rnacentral:piRNA from 1 species